CAGCUGAAUAGCAUUCGAUGUACCAUGCAUUUACUGAUAAAAGAAGUGCUACCCAAAGACCCUAGCAGCCCUGCCAUUUAUUGAAACAAGGAAACUGAGUCUAUGUAAAGUCCAUCAACGAAAGACUGCUUUGGCUCCACGCUGGAAAGGCCCUUUCCAAGUCCUGUUAACCACCAACACUGCUGUGAAGUGCCAAGGACUGCCCACCUGGACCCAUGCUUCUCACUGCAAAAAGACCCCUCCACCUGGAGAGGAUUCUCCAGCUGCUAAUCAGCCUAUUUCUCCUGCUAGCUCUGCUGUGCCUCCUGGACAGCAGG